GUUGAUGGCGCAGCCUGAUCAGCCAUGCCGCGUGUGUGAGAAGGCCUUCGGGUUGUAAACCAGCUUUUGUUGGGAGGAAGGGGUUCUGGUUAAUACCUGGGGGUCUUGACGGUACCUGAAGAAUAAGCACCGGCUAACUUCGUGCCAGCAGCCGCGGUAAUACGUAGGGUGCAAGCGUUAAUCGGAAUUACUGGGCGUAAAGCGUGCGCAGGCGGUUAUGCAAGACAGAUGUGAAAUCCCCGGGCUCAACCUGGGAACUGCCUUUGUGACUGCAUGGCUAGAGUACGGCAGAGGGGGAUGGAAUUCCCCGUGUAGCAGUGAAAUGCGUAGAUAUGCGAAGGAACACCGAUGGCGAAGGCAAUCCCCUGGACCUGUACUGACGCUCAUGCGCGAAAGCGUGGGGAGCAAACAGGAUUAGAUACCCUGGUAGUCCACGCCCUAAACGAUGUCAACUGGUUGUUGGGAGGCUUUCUACUCUAUAACGUAGCUAACGCGUGAAGUUGACCGCCUGGGGAGUACCGCCGCCAGGUUAAAACUCCAAGAAAUUUGACGGG
rnacentral:rRNA from 1 species